CAAGAGGGAUAAUUGUUUCAUUUUCCUUGUACUGAAAUUAAACUGAUUUGGUUAAUACAAAGCAUCUGAUUUAUUUUAUCGCUGGUCAUGCUGGUUUAAAUGGGAGCUCUGUGUUGGUCAAUCGUUAAACUCCAAGGGAGACCAUAUCUGACCACUCAAAGUUAUGUCAAAAUGCAUUUUGUUUCUUCAACUUUCCAACAUAUCUCGCAAAUGCCGUUAGUUUGAACACAUUCAAACUUGAAUUUUCGUCAUUAAAUAAUUUCACCCCAAACAGGAUUGAGGAUCGUGAAAAAAUAUCAAUUGAAAUUGUAUUCUUAAGGUCACGCUUAAUCUUGCGUUGGGUGAUUGCGCUGACCUUGCCUGAGAAUUGUUUCACAUUUCGCAGAAAAUUGGAGCAGGUUCCAAAUCAAAUAUGUGGCCAUGUGUUUGUGAAUAUGUCAUGUGAAAGCCGUAUGUGACCACAAUAUGCGUCAAAAUAAGUGCCGUCUACAUGCACAACUAGCAAAGCACUCUUCCGGUCUUGUGUGAUCAUCGCGGCCACAUUUGCAACAAAAUAGCUGGGUGUUGAUGGCAAGAAUGGUCGUUGUAGGGUCCAUGGCGGUGGGGACAACCCUGGAGUCUAAAGGCUGGUUCGCCUUAAGAAGCAUUUCAUGUUUAAGCUAAGCAUAAGCACAAAUGAGGAUUAAACUUAUUAGGCUUUAAAGUAAUUACGUCUUACCAAAGAACUGUGAAGAACCAAACCUAAUCAAUGGCAAUUCCCAUUCAUUCACCCACACACAAACACCACGAACACUACACGUGCACAGAAACCAAGGAGCAACAGAGGAAGCCACAACUAGGUUCGAAAUUCUUGGCAGACAAGAACAGCAACAAAAUGCGACUGUUCUCAGCGAGCUCCAAAACAAGAAUAAUGAUAAUUUGUAUGUCAUAAUUGUUCGGGAUGUUACCCAUUAAGGAUUUGAAAGGUCUCCCAGAUAAGUUGUAGGGUGUUAUUCAUUGUAUCGCAAUACUUCAGCAAUACCUUUUUUCAAAUAAUAAUCAAAAAAAAUCUGGCAUCUGAAAGCAUGUUCUCUCGUUUCUACAUUUGUUAAUACACACCUAGACGAAGCAGAUGGCGCUGUUUCCCUCAAUGAAAAGGACGAUUGCUUCAUGUAUUUGGUAGUUGUGAUGUUGUCAUGCGAGUUGCAAGUGACUUUGACGCUCUUAAGAGUCCCUGAUCUAUCCUUUGCAAAACACUCUUCCGGUCUCGUGUGACCAUCGCGGGAACAGUUGCGACAAACUGGCUUGGAGUUGAUGGUAAGACUGGUAGUUGCAGGGUCCAUGGCAGUGGGGACAACCCUGGAGUCCGGGACUGGUUCGCUUUAACAAGCAUUUCAUGGUAAAUUGCGGCCCUAAUUACGCUACCCAGAUCCGGAUUUGACACUUUCAUGACUACGCUAUGUAGUUCCUUUUUUCCUCUAGCUCCCAGGAUUGAUUGGAAUAUUGUCCGGUCAUCCACCGACAUUUUGUUCACCUCGGCUUUAGCUCCAAGAGCUUGCAGGCACACAACCCAUUCGCUGAACAAUUCGGUGGAUGAUUUGGUGGCCAAGAACCAAUCUCUACGCCUCAAAUAUUGAGGUCGAAUCUCAGGGAAGGGUUUCUUGAGUGCCUUAUAACAAUGUCUAAUUCUGGCCUGACUGUCCACAAUUUUGUAAAGGAUUGCAACAGCGAGAGAAUCGGCUGCUCAAUAUCUGUGCUGACACUGUUGAAGCAAGGAUGGACGGACGCAUGGCUUCCUAAGACCUGAAGACCCUCACAUCACGGGUAGGAAUCGGAGCGACGGUAGGAGCCAUCUGUGUGUCAGGGGUUGGUCCAGCUGCGUGUCUUACGGCUAUCAUUAAUUCGGCCUCAAGUCUCUUCAUCUCGGCCCUGACAUCCUCCGCUGUUUGUGGGUCAAGAUCCAGCCAGUCAUGUUUAUGACUAAUUUGUUGGAGUUUCACCAGCAAUGCAUCACCUGAGGUCUGGGCACAGACUGAACCCGCAUUUUCAUUUGUAUUGGCUUACUUAAUGGUGUAGAACAAUAAGUGUACAGCAUACAAAAAGUAUGAAUUGACGUACUGAAUUUAAAAGUGUACAAAGAUAUUAAAAAAAAGGCAUAAUGAAUGAAUGAAAGAAAUGCACUUGAACCAGGCACACAGAUAAGGGUUUCAAACACAUCAAAGUGGCUUAACAAACAGAAAAGGCGCACCAAAAAGUAAAAUGGCACUCCAAACAAUAAAGACGCACACUGAAAAAUAAAUCUCGGACUAGAUUUUUCGAAACCUUGAUUUUACCUUUUAUGAGUUGUUGGAAGUUAAAUGAUACUUCGAAAAAAAACCCGACAAUGUCUUAGCAUGUCACUUGAGUACCAAGUAACUGAGCUCUUUGUGCAACCACAGUCACCUAGCCUUGAUCAUGUUUUGAACUCACGUAUGGUCAGUUGGUCACCCUUUCCGUCGCCAGUAAAUCCAGACUUUUUGUUUGUAAUACUGACGUGAUCAAUCUGCCUGUGACGUAAGCUUUCAAGCCAGUACUGCCAAGUUUGAUCCAAGCCGUUUUUUAAGGUCAAGAACGUACAUUUUCUGACCAAAAAAAAUCUCCCGCUUGGAUCAAACUUGACAAUACUGGUUUGAAAGUUUGAGGCGUUGGUAAGUUGAUCAUAUCAGUAGUUUGAAAGUGGUUUUGUGUGUGUGCUGCUUUGCUCUUUUUGGUUUUCCUCAAAACGCGCAUCUAAUUGACCUGACGGCUCUUUUUGUGUUCCAACAUUUUGUCUGGUAUGCCUUCAUAGAGUUUUGUGUGCCAAACUUUAGUUUGAUGAUCCAAGAUUAAUUUUGGUGUGUCAAAAUCGAAAUAGUCGUAUGAAUUUCAGAUUGGCUGGUUGAUUGCUUGGGAGAUACGACCUACACUUUUUACUUGAUCCAAAAUGUCUUUCUUGGAGAGUGCCUUGUCAGGUCAACCAGAUGCUUGAUUUGGGGGAAACCAAAACAUAGUAGUUCAUAAAAAGCAGCGAAACUGCCUGGAAUAAAGGCCGGAGCUUGUUUUGUCAACAUCAAAUAUCAGAUGUUUCCAGUUAAUAUUACCUCAUUUAGGUUAAGAUCUAUUGUUGCAAUCAAACAUCUGGACUUGCGGCUUUGGAAUAUAAAGCUUUACUCGCUAAGGCAAUUAAAAUGACUUUCCACAAAGUUCGCUCGAAGCACCUAGUCGAGAGGUGAUCCUUUUUUCAAAGAUGUGCUGUCUUGUAUGUAAUCUGCGUCAAAGAACAAAUUACCUGCAGCUUUCAUAUUCUCCAUUGCAGUCUUGAUUUGCAUUUGGGAUUGAUGGGGAAUCAACGCCUUGACACCCUAAACCUAGAGUAUCCAUCAAAAUUCGUUCUACAAAGCGACCCUCCCCUGAUACUAACCUUUGAAUUGGCAAAUCAAAUUUUCCAGUUUAGUUCUGAAGGUUGCAACCGGCAUCAUACAAGAUUCUUCAACAUCCAAAAGCGCCGAAGCGUACGAUGAGCCUGGGUCCGUACACCAUAUGUUAAACUCAUUUUCAUCAUAGUACCGACCCGAGACCCAUUUCCACUUUUCAUUCGUGUUUUGAUGUUUUCUAAGACCUUGGCGCUCUUUAAUUGAUCGGAGGGACGUUUCUAAUGCUCGAAGGAUUACAGUAGGAACUCGCAAAAAGAUUGAAAAGCUUGCACAUGGUCCAAUUGUUUGCUCUUUGCUUCGGCCGUGAUGGGGCCUAAUUGGAGCUCCGAGGACUAAAGAACUUGAAAGACGUCACAAACAGUAUUUGACACGUUGACCCAAAUACAAGCAGUUUUUCGUUUUCGAAUUAGCAGCCAUUUAAACCAGUUAAACAUAGCAACAAUAAAAAUUUCGUUAAAAUCAGGGUCCUGCCCCUGCCCAAACAUAAGUUAAAGUCGUUUUUUAACUGACCAUCUUUCAAAUUUGCCGGGCAAUUGGCUCCAAGCAAAUGCCUGAGUGACCUGCAGCUAAG